rnacentral:rRNA from 1 species
CAAUAGCGUAUAUUAAAGUUGUUGCAGUUAAAAAGCUCGUAGUUGGAUUUCGGGGCAGCCUGGCUGGUCCGCCGCAAGGCGAGUACUGGUCAGCCGCCCUUCCUCUCGAAAGCCCCGACUGCUCUUCAUUGCAGUGGUCGGGUAGUUCGGGACGUUUACUUUGAAAAAAUUAGAGUGUUCAAGGCAGGCCUACGCCUGAAUACAUUAGCAUGGAAUAAUGGAAGAGGACCUCGGUCCUAUUUUGUUGGUUUCCAGGGCCGAAGUAAUGAUUAAGAGGGACAGUUGGGGGCAUUCGUAUUUAAUUGUCAGAGGUGAAAUUCUCGGAUUUAUGAAAGACGAACAACUGCGAAAGCAUUUACCAAGGAUGUUUUCAUUAA